UACGUAGGGUGCGAGCGUUGUCCGGAAUUAUUGGGCGUAAAGGGCUCGUAGGCGGUUUGUCGCGUCGGGAGUGAAAACUCAGGGCUUAACCCUGAGCCUGCUUCCGAUACGGGCAGACUAGAGGUAUGCAGGGGGAGAACGGAAUUCCUGGUGUAGCGGUGAAAAUGCGCAGAUAUCAGGAGGAACACCGGUGGCGAAGGCGGGUCUCUGGGCCGUAACUGACGCUGAGGAGCGAAAGCAUGGGGAGCGAACAGG
rnacentral:rRNA from 1 species